GAGUGGAAACUUGUGACUCGGGU
rnacentral:miRNA from 1 species